CAAAUAUUCACAAAGAGCAAAGUAUUCUUCUUAGUAUGGCAUUCCUUAAGCUGAGUUUGAUUCUGGCUACUCUUAUCAUGGCAGCCACUAUGAAUGCGCUAUGGUCCUCAAAUACAAAUGUCGUUGCUGCACGGGAUGUUGAUUAUGAUAUUUCAGGAAUCAAGAGGAGGAUAAUGCCGCAACUUAAUACUUGUGGGAGACUUUGUAUUUCAACUGUUGAUUGCGGUGAUUGCAUAAUUUGUUGUACCUGUCGUGCGUCGCCUAUUUACGAUGAAUCUCUAUGUUUCGUGUAGGUAGAGUGCAGUGACAAUGAACUCUAGCUAUUAAAUCCAUAUUACGGAUUAGUGUUUUCAUGUUAAUUUCAACAUUUCCUUUCUUAUUUCUUUGUCUUUGAUACUAUGUACGAAUAAUAAAGAAGUCAAGUGAGUGGCUUUUUUUCUCAAGCAGGAAAUAUCUUGUUUCAUGCAUGUAUGCAUGAUUCAUCGUAAAUUUAUCAUAUGAAAUCUGUGGUAGGUUUCCUUUUUCUAUUCUUUAUUUAAAAGCAGGUAGCUUUCAGCUUUCUUUUUA